AUUGAACGCUGGCGGCAGGCCUAACACAUGCAAGUCGAACGGUAACAGGAAGAAGCUUGCUUCUUUGCUGACGAGUGGCGGACGGGUGAGUAAUGUCUGGGAAACUGCCUGAUGGAGGGGGAUAACUACUGGAAACGGUAGCUAAUACCGCAUAACGUCGCAAGACCAAAAAGGGGGACCUUCGGGCCUCUUGCCAUCGGAUGUGCCCAGAUGGGAUUAGCUAGUAGGUGGGGUAACGGCUCACCUAGGCGACGAUCCCUAGCUGGUCUGAGAGGAUGACCAGCCACACUGGAACUGAGACACGGUCCAGACUCCUACGGGAGGCAGCAGUGGGGAAUAUUGCACAGUGGGCGCAAGCCUGAUGCAGCCAUGCCGCGUGUAUGAAGAAGGCCUUCGGGUUGUAAAGUACUUUCAGCGGGGAGGAAGGGAGUAAAGUUAAUACCUUUGCUCAUUGACGUUACCCGCAGAAGAAGCACCGGCUAACUCCGU
rnacentral:rRNA from 1 species